rnacentral:rRNA from 3 species
GACUCUCGGCAACGGAUAUCUCGGCUCAUGCAUCGAUGAAGAACGUAGCGAAAUGCGAUACUUGGUGUGAAUUGCAGAAUCCCGUGAACCAUCGAGUCUUUGAACGCAAGUUGCGCCCGAAGCCAUUCGGCCGAGGGCACGUCUGCCUGGGCGUCACGC